AUACAGAGGAAAAGGACUGGAACCUGCUGUCAGAAUAUCUCUCUCAGCCUGAGGAGCAGGCAGACCAACUUCCCAAAUAGGGGAGAACCACUCAAAACCCACUAGUUGUUCUUUCAAAGAAAAUAAUACAAAUAUGGUAAGUCCGAAGACCGCUCGUAUUAUCAACCUUACUACAAUGGCAGCAAAUAUUUUUAUCAAUUCAGUAACACAUAAUGAAAGGAAACGUUAAUUAUAUCACCUCUUUUCCUGAAGUGAAUGGUUUCACCCACUACUCUCCCGGAACUGAGGCUUUGAGAUCUACAUUGCGCGCGAGGUUGAUGGAAACUCUACAUUUUCACUUUGUUACACCUUUGGUUAUAUCAGCUGUGUCGGUGAACCCCUCCUGCAUCUGAACUGGCUACAUAGGGGGCACAGCAUGAUCAGAGGUUAGAGGUCACUUGGUCAGGUCAACAGGAAGUAUUAUUAAAGAGAUGCUUUACAUUGAAAUACAGAUAGAUAUGUUUUGAUGUGAGAGGAUGCCAACCCCCAGUCCCAUCAUCGCCACCUCACCUGCUUUUAAGAACCUUUGGGCCGAUGAGAGACACUAUUGUGUAAUUGUGAUGAACUGAGAGAAUAUUUAGGUAGCACUGUGAUUCAUUAAUCAUGUGCUGCCUUCCCUGCUCCUGUGUGCUUACCUCUUUCCCUUUCUGUCUUUUACACCUCUUUCUUCCUCUGUUUUUAUAAUGCACAACACAUCUGCAUUGAAGUACAGAUUGAACUUGUAUUUAUAACACUUGGAUAAAUGAGCUUUUCAAUAAAGCAUUUCACAUUCUCUACUGGUUGUAAUUAAGUCUCAUUUGAUGAAAUACUACACCUAUCCUGUGUUUAUCAGAUCAAUGCAGAUGAAGGGCAUUAGAUAUUGAGAUGAACCGGUGUGAGACUAUUUACAUGA